AAUUGAUAAACAGUCGUUGCGAUGCGUGCCGUGUGGUAUCGCGUUCCGUUAUUCAGUGUUGUUGACUGUAUUAUGGUGUUGUUGACGUCCUGUUGUCUUUGAAACUGUUUUAACUCUGAAACCACAAUUUGAACUAUUUUACCACAUUAACUGUCCGAAAGCCAUUAAUUUUAGUUUUCAUUUUAUCGCCAUCGAGAACACAACAAUAAACGUCCGCUAUGGAGGCCAUUAGGUGCUUAUCUUUAAUAAUGUUCCGAUGGCUACAAAGUUUGUUGAGCCGCCAUGUUCAACGAUACGAUGGCGAUAAUAUUGCCGCGACUGGUGGCCAGCGAUAACAGUGUGCCCAACGCGGUGAAAUUAUGGACUAGUUGACGAAUUUUCAGAAGUUCAUGUAAUGCGUAAGUA